rnacentral:rRNA from 1 species
UACGAAGGGGGCUAGCGUUGUUCGGAAUCACUGGGCGUAAAGCGCACGUAGGCGGAUCUUUAAGUCAGGGGUGAAAUCCCGAGGCUCAACCUCGGAACUGCCUUUGAUACUGGGGAUCUCGAGUCCGGGAGAGGUGAGUGGAACUGCGAGUGUAGAGGUGAAAUUCGUAGAUAUUCGCAAGAACACCAGUGGCGAAGGCGGCUCACUGGCCCGGAACUGACGCUGAGGUGCGAAAGCGUGGGAGCAACAGGG